CUGGUCUCGCACUUGUGGUGCAGCUCCUCGGCUU
rnacentral:ribozyme from 1 species